rnacentral:rRNA from 1 species
AGCAGCCGCGGUAAUUCCAGCUCCAAUAGCGUAUAUUAAAGUUGUUGCAGUUAAAAAGCUCGUAGUUGAAUUUCGGGGUUCUACCGUUGGUCGGGCUAUUGUCUGUACUGGCGUGUAGAAUUUCUACCUUCUGGGGAACUAUCAUGUUAUUAAUUUAGCGUGGUAGGAAACCAGGACCUUUACCUUGAAAAAAUUAGAGUGUUCAAAGCAGGCUUAUGUCUGAAUACAUUAGCAUGGAAUAAUAAAAUAGGACGGUGGUCCUGUUUUGUUGGUUUCUGAAUCACCGUAAUGAUUAAUAGGGAUAGUUGGGGGCAUUAGUAUUCAAUUGUCAGAGGUGAAAUUCUUGGAUUUAUUGAAGACUAACUACUGCGAAAGCAUUUGCCAAGGAUGUUUUCAUUAAUCAAGAACGAAAGUUAGGGGAUCGAAGACGAUCAGAUACCGUCGUAGUCUUAACCAUAAACUAUGCCGACUAGGGAUCGGAUGAUGUUAAUUUUUAAUUGACUCAUUCGGUCGCCUUACG